UAUGUCCUCUUGUCCUGUCUCUGUUUGCCUAGGAGAAGAGACCGACCCUCACCUGGCUACAGCCUCCUUUCAGACAGGAGGAGAAUGUCCAGGUUUCAGCCUCCGCCAUGGCAGGUGCUCAGUGCAGCAUCUAAUGGAGAGAAACUGAAGUAAGAAUGGAAGCAGCUCCAUGGAAGAGAUGAAGAAGAGAGAGGAGAGUUUGAGUGUAAUGAACUGAAUCCAUAAAGAAUGGAAUACAAAAAGGACUGAAAAAAUGUACCAGGGAAAUUACUGAGGAUAGAGUGGGUAUUAAUGAAAUGGGGAAUAUCAUGGUCAAAUGAAUCAUCUGUGGAAAGCUUUAGUUGAGUAUUUAAAACUGGAUUAUUGGGGAGUAUUUUUGAUACUUAACUGGUAAACACCUGAGUCUCAGCUCAUGAGCCUCAGUUUCCAUCAACAGGGAGAAAUAAGCACUCCAAAGGUGAGAUUCGUCUGACCUAGUUAAGACACCUGUCUUAGGACAAGAUUAUUGUCUGUAUGAGUUCAGAUGCAGCUGUCUAAAUAUUAGGCCCCGGUAUUAUGACAGCCGAAUUCCCUUUUACUGUUAGGAGAUCAAAAGGAAAGAAGGUGAUGGACCAGUGAAGAGGCACAAGAGCUAAGGGGCAGCUGAAGUUAAAAAGCUAAGGGAAAGGAGAGGAUUGCACUUAUAGUUCAUCACUGCUCUGUAGUCCCUAGGGAAUCUGUACUCAGAGAGGUAAAUCACAGAUUUAUGCAUAAAGGACUUUGUACCAGGAGGGCUGUAUUUCUGUACUGCCUUUAUUGCAGCUCCUACUCAGACAUCAGGAAUGCUGUAUCAGUAGCUAUUGAUAGUAUGGAGAUAGAGCAGGAUUAGGAUUAGCAAAGGAAGGGGACAGGCUGGGGAUUAGUAAAUAGGCCAGAAUCAAAGUGUAAGGGUUCUGUACCCCAUAAAGGCUUCAGAGGGCCCUUAAGAUAACAGUGUGCCGUACCGCAAGUCCAGAACUUCUCCAGCCUGAACCAGUCUUGCUCUCUUUUGGUGUAUGUAUUUUUUUGCCUUUGCUCUGUACCAGGAUAGAUUGAGAAAGCAGCAAUGGUGCCAGGAGAAAGCAAAACUGAGGAAAGCAAAGGAGCUGGAGCACUGCUUGCCCCAGCUAUCAAAUUGUUGUAGGAAUAGAACAGUAGCUCACAGGAUUUGAGCAACCAUGUGAUUUUAGAAGGCUCCAUGAGAAAACACAAAAAUUCCUUUCCUUCCCUCUCACUGAGCCUGGUUCUUGCUUAUACUUUUAGUUAUUCCUUUCUCAAAAAAAAAAAAAAAAAAAAAAAAAGGAAGUGUAGUCUUCUAGCUAGAUUUAUUUACUUUUGUUCUAAAGGAGACAUUGUUUGGCAAUUUUAUUUUUCAACAGGAAAUGGUAAAUGUGCUGAUUUGUUUAAUGAGGUUGAGAUUCCCUGUAGGAGUCCAAAUUCCUUUUUUGUUUUACUCUCUGUAGAACUGAAUGUCUUAUGUAGAUAAAAUCUCAGUAAAGAUAAACCAUUCAAGCAGAUGUGAGUAAAGAGCUGAGAAUUUCUGGGCUACUGUAGACAAAGAUGCCUCACGGAGUCAGUGGUACUUCAUGCUGCUUAACAGUGGUGUGGGGCCUUAAUUUUUGAUCUUGUGCACAUACUGGAAGAAACAGUAGGAAGAGAAGUUUGGAUUUUGAAGUAAAACAAAGUAAUUUUAUUUUUGAAUAUUGGGCCUCUGAAUGAUAGGCAGCAUAAGCACUUGAGCACACUUUCUUCUGACCUCAAUAAAAGUCCUGAAUACUAAAUAUUUGUGAAAAUUAGGGCAGUAUCCAAAUGUUCAUGUAAGAACAUUUCUUCUGUUAUCUACUUUUGAAACAGUUGCCAUGUUGUGUAUUGAUAAAAUCACAUUGAUCUAUUAAAAGAGAUUUCUCUUGUUUGUGGGA